UGAAUACGAGAUGCUACGGCGUCGAAGCAGUCUAUGUCAUACUUCCAAGAAAAGCUCGCACUGUCAUAAACAAAUAAUGCCUGUACCAUAACCGACACAGGUGGGUAGGUAGAGUAUACUAAGGGGCGCGAGAUAACUCUCUCUAAGGAACUCGGCAAAAUGACUCCGUAACUUCGGGAGAAGGAGUGCCUUAUUUAUAAGGUUGCAAUAACAAGAUCCAAGCAACUGUUUAUCAAAAACACAGGUCUCCGCUAAGUCGUAAGACGAUGUAUGGGGGCUGACGCCUGCCCAGUGCCAGAAGGUUAAAGAAGUUGGUUAGCAUUCGCGAAGCUGAUAACUGAAGCCCUGGUGAACGGCGGCCGUAACAAUAACGGUCCUAAGGUAGCGAAAUUCCUUGUCGGGUAAGUUCCGACCCGCACGAAAGGCGUAAUGAUUUGGAUACUGUCUCGGAGAGGGGCUCGGUGAAAUAGACUUGUCUGUGAAGAUGCGGACUACCUGCACCAGGACAGAAAGACCCUAUGAAGCUUUACUGUAACUUGAGAUUGAAAUUGGACUUUACUUGCGCAGUAUAGGUGGGAGGCGUUGAUAAUAUUCUUGCGGGAUUAUUUGAGCCAUCAGUGAGAUACCACUCUUGUAAUGUUAGAUUUCUAACUUUGUAUCAUUAUCUGGUCAAAGGACAGUUUCAGGCGGGCAGUUUGACUGGGGCGGUCGCCUCCUAAACGGUAACGGAGGCGCACAAAGGUUUCCUCUGAACGGGUAGAAAUCGUAUCUAGAGUGUAAAGGCAUAAGGAAGCUUGACUGUGAGACCUACAAGUCGAGCAGGGACGAAAGUCGGUCUUAGUGAUCUGACGGUGCUGAGUGGAAAGGCCGUCACUCAACGGAUAAAAGUUACUCUAGGAUAACAGGCUGAUCUCCCCCAAGAGUUCACAUCGACGGGGAGGUUUGGCACCUCGAUGUCGGCUCAUCGCAUCCUGGGGCGGUAGUACGUCCCAAGGGUUGGGCUGUUCGCCCAUGAAAGCGGUACGCGAGCUGGGUUCAGAACGUCGUGAGACAGUUCGGUCCAUAUCCGGUGUAGGCGUUAGAAUAUUGAGAGGAGCCUUCUUUAGUACGAGAGGACCGAGAAGGACAUACCUCUGGUGUACCAGUUAUCGUGCCAACGGUAAACGCUGGGUAGCUAUGUAUGGAGUGGAUAACCGCUGAAAGCAUCUAAGUGGGAAGCCCACCUCGAGAUAAG
rnacentral:rRNA from 1 species